AUUCCAGCUCCAAUAGCGUAUACUAAAGUUGUUGCGAUUAAAAAGCUCGUAGUUGGAUCUCAGGCAUGGGCGCGCGGUCCGCCUCGCGGCGGUCACUGUGUGUUUUGUUUCCCAUCCUACGCUUCCCGGUUGUUCAGCCCAUGGUGCUCUUCACUGAGCGCUUUGGGUGGCCGGAACGUUUACUUUGAAGAAAUUAGAGUGUUCAAAGCAGGCGCGUUGCCUGAAUAAUGGUGCAUGGAAUAAUGGAAUAGGACCUCGGUUCUAUUUUGCUGGUUUUCGGAACACGAGGUAAUGAUUAAGAGGGACAGACGGGGGCAUCCGUAUUGCGGUGUUAGAGGUGAAAUUCUUGGAUCAUCGCAAGACGAACAACUGCGAAAGCAUUUGCCAAGCAUGUUUUCAUCA
rnacentral:rRNA from 1 species